rnacentral:rRNA from 1 species
GAUGAACGCUGGCGGCGUGCUUAACACAUGCAAGUCGAACGAAGCAUUUUAUUUGAUUUCCUUCGGGACUGAUUAUUUUGUGACUGAGUGGCGGACGGGUGAGUAACGCGUGGGUAACCUGCCUUGUACAGGGGGAUAACAGUUGGAAACGGCUGCUAAUACCGCAUAAGCGCACGGCAUCGCAUGAUGCAGUGUGAAAAACUCCGGUGGUAUAAGAUGGACCCGCGUUGGAUUAGCUAGUUGGUGAGGUAACGGCCCACCAAGGCGACGAUCCAUAGCCGACCUGAGAGGGUGACCGGCCACAUUGGGACUGAGACACGGCCCAAACUCCUACGGGAGGCAGCAGUGGGGAAUAUUGCACAAUGGGCGAAAGCCUGAUGCAGCGACGCCGCGUGAGCGAAGAAGUAUUUCGGUAUGUAAAGCUCUAUCAGCAGGGAAGAUAAUGACGGUACCUGACUAAGAAGCACCGGCUAAAUACGUG